rnacentral:lncRNA from 1 species
AGCUGAAAAGUUGAAAUCUUUGUGUAUAUAGUCAACUGAUUGUUUGAUUUGGUGAAAUGGGGUUGCUUCAUGUGUGUUUAAUGUUUGUGUGUUUUGGUUGUUUUGGGUUUUUACUUCUGAUUCUUGGAUAUUCAAGUUGUAAAGUUGUAAUUUUUGUGCAUAUAGUCAACUGAUUGUUUGAUUUGGUGAAAUGGGGUUGCUUUAUGUUUGUUUAAUUUUUGUGGGUUUUGGUUGUUUUGGGUUGUUACUUCUAAUUCUUGGAUAUUCAAGUUGUGAAGUUGUAAUCUUUGUGUAUAUAGUCAACGGAUUAUUUGAUUUGGUGAAAUGGGGUUGCUUUAUGUUUGUCCAAUUUUUGUGAGUUUUGGUUGUUUUGGGUUUUUACUUCUGAUUCUUGGAUAUUCAGCUGUUUACCAUUGAGGUACUUUGACCUGGAUCUUGAUAUCAUAAUCACUGUGUUAAAAUUUAAAUGUUAUGCUACUUGAUUGUUGUGGUAGUAUGUUAUGGAAGUGCCGCGAUGACCUGCUCCCUCUGGUUAAUUUAGUCUAGGUUGUAGUUGGAUCCAAGGGGGUGAAGCUGGAAUGAGAAUUCUGGGAGAUCAGAGUUCCAUCACAGAAGAAAAUGAAAUGUUGGGUGAUCUUUUCCUAUCUGGCUAUGCCUUGGUGGGAAGAGUCAUUGACCGAUAUCGUCUAAUGGAGGAAUGCAGGCAUCCAAAGUAAUAAUUGAGUGGUGUGCAUAAGCUGGCUUAGCACUACUGUCAUUUUAAAAGAAAAGGUUUUGGUCAUAGUCGUCGAGGAAUUAUUUGCAAUUGGAAAUUUAGAAUUUUGGGACAAAUUAUGGUUAAUUUGCGGAAUGGUAGUACUUUAGAAUCGGAGAACUAGUGCCUUCAAUUAGUAUCUACUAACAAGUUAAGUGGCAAAUGAUAUCAUUACUUUAUGUCAUUUUGUAUGAAGGCCUCAUAGAACCAGAAGGAAGGUCCUUGUAACAUGAUGUGAUGAAAUGUUAGAGGAGUUUGGUAGCCUCAAGUCUGGUUCCAAUCUUCCACUUCUGCAGACGAGGCAAGAUGGUUCCCCCUACCAACUCCAGCACCAAGACAAAAUAAGAAAAGGACAAAACACUUUGACCUCCAAAGAUUUGCAGCUUCUCCAUUUCACAAUAUAUAGAUUUUGGAAUUUUUAACUGUUUUAUCUCAGCAUAUCAUAUCAGUUAACUAGUUAUCUGCGUAUCAGGUGACAAUGUGUAUUGUGCAUUACUAAAAUUUUGAAGAACAAUGGUUGUCAUAGAUAAAUUAUUGGUACCAUUAUUCAUAAGCUUGUCAAGUGUUGCUGUUUUUGGUAGCUUAUGGCAUAUUAAAAAUUCUAAUGUAACCAACAUCAGGUAGUGAAGUUUGAUAGUUCAAAUUUUAAGCAAUCUUUCAUAGUUAAUGACACUUCAUAGUUCAAACUUCAAACAACUUCCCCCAUCCCUAAGUUGAACCAAUUAAAAAAGUUUAGAUGUCAUUUUCCCUCUUGUCAAUCAUCCUUCUUAUUUCUGAACACUUGUUGCCUCACUUCAGUGUCAUGCUUUUGCUUACUUUUCUAUUUUAUGUUCUUGUCUUCAGAUAAGUUGAAAUCAAAGAAUUCAUUACGCUCAAAGGAAGUUGAUAAGGAUGCAGGGUCCAACCAAAUUGCAGCCAAGACUUUUAUAUUUCGUGAUUUAGCAGCUGCAACAAAAAAUUUCCGAGGUGAUUUUCUUCUUGGAGAAGGAGGCUUUGGUAGAGUUUACAAAGGGGUGAUCGAGUCCAAUCAGGUCAAUUCUCAUCAAGUCUUUUUGGUUUUUGCUAAUAAUGGAACGUAACAAAGUAAUCAAUAGUUUGGUUUGCCUCUAAUCUACCAGAUUCUGUUGCACUCCCUACUGAAUAAUGUUGUUGUGUAAAUCUUCAGAGUAUUUUACUGAUUUUUCUUCUUGAUUCUUACUGAGCCACGGCCACAGACUUUUAUCUUUUUCGGAUGAGCAUAGCUAUGUUAUCUUAAGUUGGCUCAUUUGCAGAGGGUGAACACUUGGGGCUUCUUUCCAGUCUGUCAAUUGGCAAAAAGUGGAACACUGGGUCACUUGAGUUUUUAGUUGCAUGAGAAAUCUGAAACGUAAAUUUCACUUUUGCUCUUUAGCAUCUGCAAAGUGAGGCUAGGACUUACUCAAAUCAGGAAAAUACUUUUCUUCUUUCUAACAAGUGGUGAUGUACAUUUCAUGGAUACUUUGGUUUCUAUUACGCUUUUUGCCAUAUUCGUUGAGCUAAUUGGGAUCAAUUCCUUUUUGCCAUAUUCUGGGUCGAGCUCGUCGCACCGGGCUUGCCUAGUGUGGGUUACCUCUCCUAUGUGGUUUGCGAGCUAUUGCAUAGGAGCGGGGGUUUUACCUUGUGCGCACCCAAAGGGUAGCGGCUGCGGGUUUCCCUUGUCAUCAAAAAAAUAAAAAUAAAUUUGGGAUCAAUUCCCCUUUUCUCACAUAUAUGUGGGGUUCGAGUUGAAAUAGGCAAAAGGUAUAACUGAUAGUCAUUUACAUUUUCUUCUAGUGUUGGCACCAUGCUUGAUGGUUUGCUUCUCACUUCUAAGUUGUUAGCUGGAGCUGAAGUUUAACAUCUUUUGUUUACUUUAAAUGGUGCAGGUCGUCGCCAUCAAGCAACUCGAUCGUAAUGGAUUGCAAGGCAACAGGGAAUUUCUUGUUGAAGUGCUGAUGUUAAGUCUGUUACACCAUCCUAACCUUGUAAAUCUAAUUGGCUAUUGUGCUGAUGGAGAUCAGAGACUUCUGGUCUACGAAUAUAUGCCAUUAGGGUCAUUGGAGGAUCAUCUUCAUGGUAAUCUUUCUUAGGUAGACUUUCUUUUUCAUUUUAUUUUGAAGUCGGAUUAAAUUUGGAAUUGAAGUAUUGCUCUGCAGAUCCUACGCCAGGUAAGGAACGGCUAGAUUGGAACACAAGAAUGAAAAUUGCUGCCGGAGCAGCAAAAGGGUUGGAAUAUCUACACAGUGCAAGUCCCCCUGUAAUAUACCGUGAUUUAAAAUGCUCCAACAUUUUACUUGGUGAGGGUUAUCACGCGAAGCUCUCUGACUUCGGCUUGGCCAAAUUGGGGCCUGUAGGAGAUAACACCCAUGUUUCUACAAGAGUUAUGGGUACUUAUGGGUACUGUGCACCAGAGUAUGCCAUGACGGGACAAUUGACUUUGAAGUCGGAUGUUUACAGCUUUGGGGUAGUCCUCCUGGAGAUCAUUACAGGCAGGAAAGCAAUUGAAAGUUCAAAAACUGGAGGAGAUUUCAAUCUGGUUAUAUGGGUAAGAUUUUCUUAUCAUACAGCUUUUUGGUAACUCUUUUUUCUGUGGUGGCCUGUUGUUUCAUUGAUGUAUUAUGAUCUCUAUAGUUGUUCAACUCUAGAAGGGAAGAAAGUAUUAUCGGACAGUUAUAAAAUGUCUCUACAGUUAUCUGCAAUCCAUAAGAUGAGUUCAAUGAAUGAGUAAAAAAACUGGUAAUUGCUGAUUUAAUAUGCGUUUGAAAAAUCUAGUGCACUAUCUGGAGGCAAAUGCGUCUGAAUGGCUUUAGAAUCCUUCGUGGAAGAUCUAGAGUAUUUUUUUCCUGAAUGAAAUAACAAAUAUACUAUUACUCUUAACAGUGUUUUAAAAGGCGGGGGCGUGAGGCGAGGCGUUUUACUUAGUAUAGGGAGAGGCAUAAGCCUUGAGACGUGGGGCGUAAGCCCUAUGGAUCUUCAAAUUUUUAAUUUAUAAUAUAGUAUAAUAAUAUAAUAACACAAAAUUAUAAAAAUAAAUCAAUAGUUUGAAAUAAUUACAAAUAUGAUUAAAUAAACUAAUAGAAAAUAAAAGUUCUGACAUGAUUAUACAAGUAUAAAUAAUCUAAUGUCUUAACUUUCUAAUAAUAAUGAAUCAUUAUUUCUCAAAAAUAUUUUUUAUCAUACUAUAAAAUUUACCCCCUAAAAGAAAAUAAUUAAUAACCUUACUAGUAUUAUAAUAAAAACAUCACUCCAUCAUGAAUAAAAAUAAAAUUACUUUCAAAUAGCUAAAUAAAAUAUAAUAAUUUUGAGACAUGACAAAACAAUGAAGACCAAUGUUAAGUGAAAAGGUAAAAUUUCGUGACGUAUUUUUAAAAGAAAUGUUACGUAAUAUAUAAUUACUUUCACAGUGUUACCAAAUAGGAAAUAUGUGAUACUAAAACUUGUUAUUUGAGUUAUUCUCAGUCUUCUUAUCUCUAUAGAUUAAAAAUUAUCAAAUAUCAUACAAUUAUUCAAGAAUUAUGAGGGUCAACAAUGUUAACUAAAGAUUUUAACACAUAAUUUGUGUAAGAUCUGUUAGGCGAGCCUCGAGGGUUGGGCGUUGGGCGUGAUUGAGGCGUACAGUCGGGCGCUUGGGGCGUAAGUCUGACAGAACUAAGCCCUACACUUGAGUCUCGGGCGUUUUGCUAGAGCCCUGCCCUAGGGCGAUCCCCAAGGCGAGUCCCAACAGAGUUUUUUAAAACACUGAUUCUUAAGGCUGGGUAAACCAGUUGAUGUUGACGUGCUGUUCAAUGAAACAGUGUCAGAUGACACCACUUGAAGCAAUGUAUCUACACCAUGGGGGGUAGGGGCAAGGUUGGGUAUUUCAGUUGAUGUUGACGCGCUGUUAAUCUCUGUUUAAAGCUGGUGGAAGGUAGUGGAACAUUCAGUGUCGGAAGUUUCCUUUCAAGGUCUCGUUUAUGUGAUGUUUAGGGAAGAUCUUGAUCCUCUAUUGUGUGUCAAAUGGAGCGAAGGAGAGAUUUAUAGAGUUUACAUCCUCUUUGGUUACACUUUUCUUGGGUCAUUAUAUGUGUGUGGGGGGUGGGGGUGGGGGUGUAGAUUGUUCUUUUCUGUUAGGCAGCCAUAAAGAGAACCAAGUUUCUAAUUAUAUAGUUGUGCUCUGUAUAUCAGGCAAGACCAUUGUUCAAAGAUCGGAGGAAGUUCUCACAGAUGGCUGAUCCAAUGCUACAAGGCCAUUAUCCAGUAAGGGGCAUGUACCAAGCUCUAGCAGUUGCAGCAAUGUGUGUUCAGGAGCAACCUAACAUGCGUCCAGUCAUAGCAGAUGUUGUCACGGCUUUAACUUACCUUGCUUCACAAAAGUUUGACCAUGAAACCCGAGGGGGCAUCCAAACUUCACGGCCAGGACCUGCUACUUCACCUAGAAUGAAACGAUGGUGACAAGCUGCAAAAAGGUUAAAAUGGAGCUAUGAACUAGAUGGGUGAUGGGAACAAAACAAGAUCAUCAAAAAAGGGGGAGCCAAGGCUGGAACCUCUUGAAUAUCAGCUAAGUUGAAAGUACAGAUAACAAACCACAAUCAGUGGCACCUAGAGUGCAGGUUCAAUCAUCUGAACUAUAUUGGCGCAACAAAUAUUUUUUCCCUCAGAAGUCAGACCAACUAUGAGGUCCUCCCUUGUUCUUUCUCAGUUGAAGCUGCUAGUUCCUGUUAAUUAUUGCAUUAAUAGGUGAUUUAUGUUUGUCCAAUUUGUGGUUUUGGUCAUUCUUUGGUAAACCUCCAAAUCCUGGUCUGGUAUUUUUGUUGUACAGACAUGCCUUGUGUUUACGAGUGCAAGUAUGUAUUAGAAUAGCUCAUUAUGAUGUACAAUCGCGUGAUUGUGUUUAUUUCCUGCAGCUAUAUAAGUUGAAAUGACAUUUUCGAGGAGAACUCAUAAAAUUGUAAUACUACAAGCUAGCAUAUAUGACUCUUGAAUGCUACUAAAAGAACAUUUUGUUUUCUUCUUCUUUUAAUGUUGGUUUACUGUUCAAUUUGAUAUAAUGAGUCUCAUUAAAAUGACUUGUUGACUCCCCAUAUUGUAGAGAAAAAAGAGAAGAUUUAAGUGUUGUCCAUGGAGAAGAUAAUCGUUGUAAUAAUUCAUCCCAACCUGAGUUGCAUUAAGAAAUCAAAUUAUUACAAAAAGAAACAUGCUAAAAGAUUGUUAAUUUUGUCAUUGUCAUAUCAAUUGAAUAAAGUACAUUUGGCAGAGCAAGUUCAAGACAACGACGAAGAGAAGAAAAAAAAAAAGGAACAUCAUAGAUAUCUCCUCUAUCCUCCUAAAGAACAUGAUCUUGAGAGCAUCCCAACUCAUUGAUCAGAUUUCUUUACAAGACUCAGCAAGACUCCAGUGCUUAGACAUGUCGCUACAACACCAAGAGACGCCUCUGUGGAAACAUGGUAUCCUGCGUGAAUUUUGAUAUCAGUUAAGACACUUCCCUGGGAUUUCAAUUGUAAGAGGAAAAAGCUCACCUGAUGUUUGCAGAAACUUACCGAAAAAGUCUAGGAUCAUUUUGAAUCCAAUGAAUCCCAGGACAACACCAAUGGAAGGCUGAAUAGAAAUUGGAUCUUAGUUAAAAAUUAUCAUCCAUGAAAGUGAAGUGAACUUUAAGGAACAGUCACUAACAGACUUGCGGCUAGUUUGAUUAGUUCUAUUUAAAUAUUCUAAUGCUAUUGUCUGUAGAACAAGAGCUCUAACUUGAGCAAUCAUGACUGACUUGGGACGAUUGAGUGAAUGGCUGUUGUAAUACAGCAAGCAAAGACUGAUAAAAGCAAGUCAAUACUCACCUGUAGAUAUUCCAACUCCCCCAUACUUUCAGAAAUGAGUGUGUACAAUGACCUCAAUCCUGCAUAAGAAGAGCUAGGUUGGUCACCUAGUUUAUAGGGAAGAAAAACAUAUUUCGCAGAAGGGUAAUAAAUAAAAAUCUACUUCUUCACGAAAUCAGAAUGAGUAAAAACAAGACAGAUUUUUUUCGUGAACAACUAACCCCAUGCACACGAGUCCUCAAUAUAUAUAAAAGAAUGUCAACGACAUGCCAAAUAUCACUAGUUUAAACCAACUCGAAUUUGGUACAAGAAAUCACAUUUCAAUUAGUAAUUGGCUUUUUUUAUAGCUCUUGUGGUUAAAAACUUAAAAUAAGAAGCAAAGUAAAGAACACAGGCUUUACCUAAAAUUGCAAAGAGAUUGGAUGUGAAAACUAUGAAAGGAUCUCUUGUGACACCAAAAACUGCUGGUAUAGAAUCAACCUGAGAAGAACACAACAUUGUUGUUAGGACGGAAACAAACAGGUAUGUUAGCCCUUAAGAUAUGUCAAAUCCAGCAUGAACAGAAAACUCACAGCGAAUGCAAUAUCACUGAGUUCAAUAACCGCUACUGUCAGAAGUAAAGGGGUAGCCUGCCCAAAAUGUUUAAGGCUGUUAAAAAUCAGAACAAUCAAUAUAAAAAAUAUUCUAGAAAAGUAUAUAACAAGUACACAGGCUUUUGUUUGUAUAGAUGGUCAAAAGAUGCCGGAUUUCGUUAAGCCAGAAAUUUAAAAGUAUAAAUUGAUAUAUGCAUGAAUAUUAUUGAGGUGACAUGCUAGGACAAAUAUAAAUUUCAACUGCUAAAAUAACUCCCUGUUGACUUACUUUCCGUACACCAUCCUGCAAAGUUAUGAACCUGUCACCAUCAUAUUCAGCUGCAACACCAAGAAAAGUUUGAAAAAUUACCAUAUAUUUCAAAACCUGAAAGGUUAAAUUUAUGUACAAGGACCAGAGCUUCAUCAUCCUAAGGGAACUUGUUCCUGGAUCCUACUCAUGUAUCAUAAUUCAUAUGAAUUAAAGAGUAGCUCGAAUAACAUCACGGAACUAGAAGAACAUUAGUCUCUGACAGGAAAAACAUAACCUAAUUCAUGGGUUCCCGCCAACCCUUGCACUCCAAAUAAUCUUGCAAAAUCAAAGCAAAUAUGUAGCAAGGAAAGGGAGUAUUUUCUACAUAUGGAGUUUUAGUUACACUGGACCAUGAAUUUUGGUGAUACCCAACAGAUUAAUAGCAUGAGGGUGAAUUGUAUG